CAUUAAAGAGUAAGGGUGCUCAGCGCCCGACCUCCAACCCUUUGUUGUUAAAACUACCUUGUUGCUUUGGCGGGACCGCUCGGUCUCGAGCCGCUGGGGAUUCGUCCCAGGCGAGCGCCCGCCAGAGUUAAACCAAACUCUUGUUAUUAAACCGGUCGUCUGAGUUAAAAUUUUGAAUAAAUCAAAACUUUCAACAACGGAUCUCUUGGUUCUCGCAUCGAUGAAGAACGCAGCGAAAUGCGAUAAGUAAUGUGAAUUGCAGAAUUCAGUGAAUCAUCGAAUCUUUGAACGCACAUUGCGCCCCUUGGUAUUCCGAGGGGCAUGCCUGUUCGAGCGUCAUUACACCACUCAAGCUAUGCUUGGUAUUGGGUGCCGUCCUUAGUUGGGCGCGCCUUAAAGACCUCGGCGAGGCCUCACCGGCUUUAGGCGUAGUAGAAUUUAUUCGAACGUCUGUCAAAGGAGAGGACUUCUGCCGACUGAAACCUUUUAUUUUUCUAGGUUGACCUCGGAUCAGGUAGGGAUACCCGCUGAACUUAAGCAUAUCAAUAAGCGGAGGAA
rnacentral:rRNA from 1 species